CGAGUGGCUAAAGGCAGUCCAAGGUCAGUUGCUGUCGAUGAAGAGUAACUGGAUGCGGAAGCUUGUGUCAAAUCCGGCCGAUGCAAACGCAUUGAAAAUCACAUAAACUUUUCGAGUCAAAUAGAAAAUGUACGGAUAGUGAGACACAAGGGCUUCCUACAGCAGCAGGGAUUGGACUAUGAAGAAACUUACCCUCCAGUUGAAAAACUUGCAACGAUUUGAAUAAUCCUAGAUUGGACAGCCGUCCUUGAAGACCGAAAGUUUCGAGAAUUGAUUUUGCAGUACAUUGUCACCCUAAAUCGAACCGUGGCGAGGGCGUAUACGAGAGAACAACAGCAGGAGCAUUAUCAUCACAAAAGACCACCAACCUCCCCAACCCUUCCGUGCGAGCGAACACGGCAAACAACAAACAAAGCUCUUUAAAUGAAAGCAUCGUUAAGCACAGCUGCUGCAGCUUCAAAAGCUCUUCUUCAUAUAUUUUAUGCUCUAUGGUACUGUAUAGACAAAACCAAGUCCGUCCGAGCCAUCCCACUCCUUGAAGGCGUUGAAGGCAGAGAGCUAUCACCCGUACUACAGGCGAGCACCAGAUGCGAAAAUUCGCGCGCGGCUAAACAUCAACGACCUCGUAGUCGUCACCGUCUCACGCCCCGAUUCGAACUCAGUUCCAUGCGAGGCAGAAGGACCGGGGUGCCGAUAGAACAACAUCUUCAAGUCGAUGCAAUUCGGGUCCUUCGCAGAUGAACUCCGCUGCAAAAGUAUAGGUAAGUGAAAGGGUGGGUUUGUAAAUUAAAAUGUCGCUUCGAGAGAAGUGUUUUUGUUAAAAGGAAUUCUUUUGUAAGUUGAUUUUCUUCCGAAUGCGAAUGAAAGCUACAGCGCAAAUUUUCGGUCCUAACACAACUUAUGGGACGCGUAGUAAAUAACGAUUCGGCGAGAUCUAGAACUCACAACAGCUUUAAUCGUUUUCAUGCGUUUGUGUCAUAAUUAAUAGUCAAACAUCGAAAUAUAAACUUCCUUUUUCCUAAGCCUA